UACAGAGGUGGCAAGCGUUGUUCGGAAUUACUGGGCGUAAAGGGCGCGUAGGCGGUUCGAUAAGUCCUGUGUGAAAUCCCUCGGCUCAACUGAGGAACUGCACGGGAGACUGUCGGGCUUGAGUUCGGGAGAGGGAAGCGGAAUUCCGGGUGUAGCGGUGAAAUGCGUAGAUAUCUGGAGGAACACCGGUGGCGAAGGCGGCAUCCUGGACCGGCAUUGACGCUGAGGCGCGAAAGCGUGGGGAGCAAACAGG
rnacentral:rRNA from 1 species